AUACGGAGGGUGCAAGCGUUAUUCGGAAUCACUGGGCGUAAAGGACGCGUAGGCGGGUUGGCAAGUCAGAUGUGAAAUCCUACAGCUUAACUGUAGAACUGCAUUUGAAACUGCUAACCUAGAGUAUGGGAGGGGGAGAUGGAAUUAGUGGUGUAGGGGUAAAAUCCGUAGAUAUCACUAGGAAUACCGAAAGCGAAGGCGAUCUCCUGGAACAUAACUGACGCUAAGGCGUGAAAGCGUGGGGAGCAAACAGGACUAGAAACCCUAGUAGUCC
rnacentral:rRNA from 1 species